rnacentral:ncRNA from 1 species
AAAGGGCAAACCGCCGGAAACGGCGGGACGCAAAGUAACCGGCCUCAGGCCCCAAGCUAGGAACAGGGGUGAUGGCAGCGGAACCG